UAUAUAUAUAUAUAUAUAUAUAUUAGGAUAGUAUGUGCGUGAAACCAAAACCAAUUGGGUAAGUAUUUAUUGGAAAACACUACCAUGGAAAAAUUCACUAGAUUUAGAAAGAUAAAAGAGAUUGGGGAAAUCUUUUCAUUUGUAUCUUUUCACUAAAAGUUGGCCUUAUUAUGGACUGGAGGUCACUAAUUGAUCCAAGUAUUGGUAGAUUUACAAGGUCCAAAUAUCACUAGAUCCAUCCUAACUCAGUAUGGAAAAACUUAUGUGAAACUUCUUUUCCAGGGGAAAACAAAAGAUUCCAAAAAAUGCACAAAAAAGAAAAAAAAAAAAUCUUGUGGACUUGGUAUCGGCACGACUUGUUCCACGUGCUGGCACGGCUUUGGCGCAGUACAACAUGGAUGGCACGGCCAAUCCUUAAAUUGAGCUAUCUAAGCCUUUGGUAGUAAUUUCAGAUUUAUGGACAACUCGAUUUUUAACCUCUCUUCCUCUUUUCUUUUGAUUUCUGUAGUUAUUCUAAAUCUUACGAAUGGUUUUUUUGCAUUUUGCCUAUGUCUUUAUAUUCCAUCUUGCUUUUUUUUUUUGUUGUUGUUUUUUGCAUAUUGGUCCCUCAAAUCUUUGGAUAGUUAUAUAUAGUGGCGAAAUAGAGAGAAAAGAGUAGCCUAUCUUGUUUUUCGUUUUAGGGGUCUUUUUAGUUUUGUGGAUGAUUAGGCUGAUAUAAUGAUAAAAAAUGCAGAUUACUCUCUCUUAAAUUCUUUAUAUCUCUCUCGGCAUAGGCACAGUGUUGUCUCAAGAUAUGGGUGGUGGGCUGGUGGGUCAUGCAGAUAGGCCUAUCCUUUCUUCCUUUUCUCUUUCCCUCUCUUUUGCUCUCGCUUUGUUUUCUUACCUUCUCCUUUCUUUUUUUCCCCUUUAUCUAUCUAUCUAUUUAUCUAUGAAGAGGCAAUGAUGGUUUAGACCUCCCUCUGACUUCUGACUUUCAAGUUAUUGAAGCAGGUGGUGAGGAAUAUUACUGAUCAUUGAGAUAAACUAUGAUAAAAAUGUAUGGAGACCCCCUCAACUAUAGGCUAUUUUGAAAUAGCCUCCUCAACUUUUAUUUUAUUUUGUUUUUUAUCAACGGACAUUUGAAUCCAUCACUAUCUUCCUCUACAGUGAGGCAUCUUGGAUGGCCACAAGGCAACCGAUGCAACCGUUCUAAAUCUAAUUCAGUCUAUCAAAUUUACCUUUGUACGAAGAGGCAAUGCUGGAUAAGGCAGCCAUCGACUUUCGAUUGACCGAAGCGGAUCAAUGGCAUAUUAUUUAUUGUGAGGUAAACUGUGAUGGAAAGUCUCUAUUCUCUUUUUUUGCUGUUUCAAUGGUGUUCCGGCAAUGCAGCUUGGAUGGCCUAAGGCAACCGCUGCAGCCAUUUAACCUUAGCAGGAAUAUGAUUUGGUCGAGAGGAGUGCCAAGAAGUUAAUGAGGCGAUGAUGGGUAAGACCUUCCUCGACUUUCAAGUCUGUAAAGAUCUUAAGGAUUGCUGAUUGUUGUUGUAAACUGUGGGUAAAACUGAACUGCGACCCUCUCAACUGUAUCAUGAUUUGAAGUAAAGCCCCCAAAAUUUUGAAUAUUUUCAUCAGCAUUUUCUUAGUUGUUAACAUUUUGCCCAUCUAACAGUAGAUAAAUUAUUGCCCAGACUUGGUGAGAAGAGGCAGUUAUAUUUGAUGAGAACAUCAUUCUGCAUUUGAGUGGUUGGAGCAUACAUAUGGGUGAAAAUGUAUGGAGACUCCCUCAACUAUAGGAUAUUUUACCGACCGUCUUUGGCACAAAUGGCAGAGGGUUUGGUGGUUAGUAUCUGAGGUCUCAAGUUCGAAUCCUAGUUGAUUCACUUUUCCAGCUAAGUUUAUUUCUAAAAGAAAUAAACGAAGCAGGUAGCAUGCUACCUAUCUCUCUCUCUCAAAAAAAAAACUAUAGGAUAUUUUGAACUAGGUUCCUAUAUUUUAUAAAGAUUUUGAUGGCAAGGCAUUUGGAUGGCCGCAAGGCAAACAGCUGCUUGCCAUUAGGAUUGAUGUUCUGAAACAGAAGAGAGGAGCGGCAGUCUUUUUUAUCUGAUUGCUGAAAUGCUAACCUGAGCCUCCCUUUCAACAGUUUCUCCUAUUUUUGUGUGAAGUAUUCUAUUAUUUUAUUUUAUUUUUUCAGAAUGUGUUAUGUUUUAUUUUUGCCAAUGGAUUGUACGUUUGAGGUUUUUCAAAGGUAUUUGGUUUUCCAUAAUCAAGUUAUGUUACAAAGAGUUGGAUUUAUGUUUGUUCUUUUUGUACUUUAUUUGCUUACAAUUUCCUCAUGUUCAUUUCCUUUUUUUUUUUCUCAUCCAAAUUCUUUAAAUCUUUUUAAUAUUGCAUAAAUAUAUGUUUCAAUAAAAUAUACAGGAAUAGGUAAAUGAUUCUUCUUUUGAUUUUUUUUUUUUUUUAAGAUUUUCAUUUUGGGGUUGAUCUAGUUGAAGUAUUCCAUAAAAUUUUACAUGCUUUUCAUUUGCUUAGUGAUGCUAUUCAGCAAGCUAAUGACUUGGGAGUCCACUGUAGAAUCUUUUCUCGGACUUUUUUUUAAAAUAAAUCCUUAAAAAAAUUAUAAUUUGCCCAAUGUCCCUAUCAAAAUUUUAUGUGACGAAAUAAUCUUCUUUUGUCCAACACAAAGCCAGGGUGGAAAUAAUCUUAUUUUGUCCAACUCAAAGCCAAGAUGGAAGAAUAAUUACGAAACAGUGUUUGUUUCUAUUUCCUAAAUUGAAUCUUUACAAGCACAUAAAAUUUCUAACAAAUCACAAACAAUCUUAACAACAAAAAAGAAAUCCUAACCUAUCAAUACAGUCCUAACGAUCAAACAAAAAUUUCAAUAAUCCAUAUACAAUCCUAACAACCAAUAAAAGCACUCAACAUAUGAAAAAAACGAUAAUAGUUUGAAAACAGAAAAUGAUUCACCGUUUUCUAAAAAUGGUGAUAAUUUUUGUCCAACGAGGCAGUGAGUUGGCAAGAAGAGGGUUAGCUGGCCAAAUAAAAUUUUGGAAUGAUAAUUUGGUCAAUUAGAAAUUUUUUAAGAAUAAAUUUUUUUUAAAAGGACUCUUUUCUUAUAUGCCACUUUCCUCUUAUGCUUUUGCUUUUUCUCCUCCCCACCCCCCUCUCUCUCUCUCUCUCUCUCUCUCUCUCUCUCUCUAUAUAUAUAUAUAUAUAUAUAUAUAUAUAGACUAAUAUGCUUUUGAAAAUACGGAGGCUUUUAUGCUUGUAAGUUGUUUUCGAUUUUCGAUGAUGGGACAUCCGAUUUAGCGAUCGGUUUUCUGGGACAUGAUCUACAGUAUUAGAACUAUCUAAAAUCAAAUUUCAUAAUUUUUUGAUUUUGUUUGCCUAGUGAAUGAGUAGCCCAAAAUACAUUACUGAAAAUAAAAAUUACAUAAAAAAUAGUGACAAAAGGCUUAAAUUUCAAAUCAAAAAUAGUGAUUUUGCUCUUGAUGUUUAGUAAAAUUUUUUAUUACAUUUUGUCUAAUUUGGAUUGUUCUACGCCGUCGAACUUAAAAACAUGCCACAUCAGCCAUUAAAAUAGUCAUUUUUUAGACCCUUUGAUCACUUGGUAAAUAAUAUUGAAAUAUUAUACCAUUUAGUUUAUAAAUAGUUUUAAUAGCUCAUAUCUAAUGGAGCGGAUCGUCAUAUUGGAUAUCCUAUCAUCGAAAACAAUUUACUGGCACGGGGGCCUCCGUACUUUCAAAAGUACACGAGAUGUACUCUCUCUCUC